AAUACCGGUGGCGAAGGCGGCCACCUGGUCAGAAACUGACGCUGAGGUACGAAAGCGUGGGGAGCAAACAGGAUUAGAUACCCUGGUAGUCCACGCCGUAAACGAUGUCAACUAGUUGUUCGUCUUAUAAACAAGGUGAGUAACGCAGCUAACGCACUAAGUUGACCGCCNGGGGAGUACGGCCGCAAGGNNNNAACUCAAAUGAAUUGACGGGGGCCCGCACAAGCGGUGGAGCAUGUGGUUUAAUUCGAUGCAACGCGAAGAACCUUACCAUCCCUUGACAUCCAGUGAACUUUCUAGAGAUAGAUUGGUGCCUUCGGGAACACUGAGACAGGUGCUGCAUGGCUGUCGUCAGCUCGUGUUGUGAGAUGU
rnacentral:rRNA from 1 species